rnacentral:rRNA from 1 species
CAGCAGCCGCGGUAAAACGUAGGUGGCAAGCGUUGUCCGGAAUUAUUGGGCGUAAAGGGCUCGCAGGCGGUUUCUUAAGUCUGAUGUGAAAGCCCCCGGCUCAACCGGGGAGGGCCAUUGGAAACUGGGAAACUUGAGUGCAGAAGAGGAGAGUGGAAUUCCACGUGUAGCGGUGAAAUGCGUAGAGAUGUAGAGGAACACCAGUGGCGAAGGCGACUCUCUGGUCUGUAACUGACGCUGAGGAGCGAAAGCGUGGGGAGCGAACAGGAUUAGAUACCCCAGUAGUCCCUGUCUCUUAUAC